GACGAACCGUGCGAACGUUGUUCGGAUUCACUGGGCUUAAAGGGCGCGUAGGCGGUCGACCAAGUCUGGGGUGAAAUCUUUCGGCUCAACCGGAAAAGUGCCCCCGAUACUGGCCGGCUAGAGGGAGAUAGGGGCAUGCGGAACUUCCGGUGGAGCGGUGAAAUGCGUAGAUAUCGGAAGGAACGCCGGUGGCGAAGGCGGGUCUCUGGGCCGAUACUGACGCUGAGGAGCGAAAGCGUGGGGAGCGAACGGAUAGAUACC
rnacentral:rRNA from 1 species